rnacentral:rRNA from 1 species
UGACGCUGGCGGGAGGCUUAACACAUGCAAGUCGAGCGGGAGGAACGGUACGUCUCUGCUMCKGGRCCUAGCGGCGGACGGGUGAGUAAUGCUUAGGAAUCUGCCUAUUAGCUGGGGGACAACAUCUCGAAAGGGAUGCUAAUACCGCAUACGUCCUACGGGGAGAAAGCAGGGGAUCUUCGGACCUUGCAUCUAAUAGAUGAGCCUAUGUCGGAUUAGCUAGUUGGUGGGGUAACGGGCCYACCAAGGCGACGAUCUGUAGCUGGGUCUGAGAGGAUGAUCCGCCACACUGGGACUGAGACACGGCCCAGACUCCUACGGGAGGCAAGCAGUGGGGAAUAUUGGACAUUGGGGGGAACCUGAUCAAGCCAUGCCCGUUUGUAAAGAAGGCCUUAUGGUUGUAAGCACUUUAGCAAGGAGGAGCUCYUUAGUUAUACCCAGGAUAUGGGCGUUCUCCAAAAAAACCCGUAAUCUUGCAACCGGGG